rnacentral:rRNA from 1 species
AUUGAACGCUGGCGGCAGGCCUAACACAUGCAAGUCGAGCGGAUGAAGGGAGCUUGCUCCUGGAUUCAGCGGGACGGGUGCGUAAUGCCUAGGAAUCUGCCUGGUAGUGGGGGAUAACGUCCGGAAACGGGCGCUAAUACCGCAUACGUCCUGAGGGAGAAAGUGGGGGAUCUUCGGACCUCACGCUAUCAGAUGAGCCUAGGUCGGAUUAGCUAGUUGGUGGGGUAAAGGCCUACCAAGGCGACGAUCCGUAACUGGUCUGAGAGGAUGAUCAGUCACACUGGAACUGAGACACGGUCCAGACUCCUACGGGAGGCAGCAGUGGGGAAUAUUGGACAAUGGGCGAAAGCCUGAUCCAGCCAUGCCGCGUGUGUGAAGAAGGUCUUCGGAUUGUAAAGCACUUUAAGUUGGGAGGAAGGGCAGUAAGUUAAUACCUUGCUGUUUUGACGUUACCAACAGAAUAAGCACCGGCUAACUUCGUG